rnacentral:rRNA from 1 species
GAUGAACGCUGGCGGCGUGCCUAAUACAUGCAAGUCGAGCGAACAGAUGAGGAGCUUGCUCCUCUGACGUUAGCGGCGGACGGGUGAGUAACACGUGGAUAACCUACCUAUAAGACUGGGAUAACUUCGGGAAACCGGAGCUAAUACCGGAUAAUAUAUUGAACCGCAUGGUUCAAUAGUGAAAGACGGUUUUGCUGUCACUUAUAGAUGGAUCCGCGCCGCAUUAGCUAGUUGGUAAGGUAACGGCUUACCAAGGCCACGAUGCGUAGCCGACCUGAGAGGGUGAUCGGCCACACUGGAACUGGGACACGGUCCAGACUCCUACGGGAGGCAGCAGUAGGGAAUCUUCCGCAAUGGGCGAAAGCCUGACGGAGCAACGCCGCGUGAGUGAUGAAGGUCUUCGGAUCGUAAAACUCUGUUAUUAGGGAAGAAAAAAUGUGUAAGUAACUAUGCACGUCUUGACGGUACCUAAUCAGAAAGCCACGGCUAACUACGUG